rnacentral:rRNA from 1 species
UACGAAGGGGGCUAGCGUUGCUCGGAAUCACUGGGCGUAAAGGGUGCGUGGGCGGGUCUUUAAGUCAGGGGUGAAAUCCUGGAGCUCAACUCCAGAACUGCCUUUGAUACUGAAGAUCUUGAGUUCGGGAGAGGUGAGUGGAACUGCGAGUGUAGAGGUGAAAUUCGUAGAUAUUCGCAAGAACACCAGUGGCGAAGGCGGCUCACUGGCCCGAUACUGACGCUGAUGCACGAAAGCGUGGGGAGCAAACAGG